AUGUAUGAAGGGUGGAAAGCCCCACCCUGGCAACCUGUACAGUCAGCAAGACCCGACUUCCGACACAGGCACCGGACUCAAGCGGCUUGUGUUUGGUACCGCCGAAAACGCACUUUCUUCACAGGCGUCGCGCUGCGGAAGUGCAGCUCCGGAAUACGGCGACUUGACGGCAGGGGGCGCUGUUGUACGAAGACAUCUUGCGACACGGACGAGGGAGGCACGCGCCUGGCGGUGGACAUGUACGGCAUCACGGGGAUGCCCGACCUUCUCCCCCCGACCGGAGCCAUGCAGCCCAGUCCGGCCUUAGACGGCCAGACCGGGCGGAACGGGCCGAACAACCACCUGCCCCCGCGGGGAAUGGUGCAGAGGGCGCCAAAACUGGGGCAGAUUGGCCGCUCCAAACGAGUGGUUAUAGACGACGAAGAACUGGACGACAUCAUGAACAACAACAGACGGUUCCCCGUGCCACUCGACAUCUCCCGCCUUGCCUGA
ensembl:lncRNA